AGCGAACGCUGGCGGCAGGCCUAACACAUGCAAGUCGAACGAAGUCUUCGGGCUUAGUGGCGGACGGGUGAGUAACACGUGGGAACGUGCCUUUAGGUUCGGAAUAACUCAGGGAAACUUGUGCUAAUACCGAAUGUGCCCUUCGGGGGAAAGAUUUAUCGCCUUUAGAGCGGCCCGCGUCUGAUUAGCUAGUUGGUGAGGUAAAGGCUCACCAAGGCUACGAUCAGUAGCUGGUCUGAGAGGAUGACCAGCCACAUUGGGACUGAGACACGGCCCAAACUCCUACGGGAGGCAGCAGUGGGGAAUCUUGCGCAAUGGGCGAAAGCCUGACGCAGCCAUGCCGCGUGGAUGAUGAAGGUCUUAGGAUUGUAAAAUCCUUUCACCGGUGAAGAUAAUGACUGUAGCCGGAGAAAAAGCCCCGGCUAACUUCGUGCCAGCCGCCGCAGUAAGAC
rnacentral:rRNA from 1 species